GGGAAAGGUGAAAAGCACUUCGAACAGAAGAGUGAAAUAGUCCCUGAACCCAUACGCCUACAAGCAGUCGGAGCCGCUUCGUGCGGUGACGGCGUGCCUUUUGCAUAAUGAGCCUACGAGUUACUCAUCACCAGCGAGGUUAAGUACUUCAGGUACGUAAGCCGAAGCGAAAGCGAGUCUGAAUAGGGCGUCAAGUUGGUGGUGGUAGACGCGAAACCUUAGUGAUCUACCCAUGGGCAGGGUGAAGGUUUGGUAACACAAACUGGAGGCCCGAACCGGUAAACGUUGAAAAGUUUUCGGAUGACCUGUGGGUAGGGGUGAAAGGCCAAUCAAACUGGGAAAUAGCUCGUACUCUCCGAAAUGCAUUUAGGUGCAGCCUCUGUUGUUUUGUUCUAGAGGUAGAGCUACUGAUUGGAUGCGAGGGCUUCACCGCCUAUCAAAUCCGGCCAAACUCCGAAUGCUAGAACAUGAAGACAGGGAGUGAGCCAGCGGGUGCUAAGGUCCGUUGACGAAAGAGGGAGAACUCAGACCAUCAGCUAAGGUCCCCAAUUAUAUGCUAAGUUGGAAUAAAAACGGGGUGGGACUGCUUAGACAGCUAGGAUGUUGGCUUGGAAGCAGCCAUUCAUUUAAAGAGUGCGUAACAGCUCACUAGUCGAGCGGUCCUGCAUGGAUAAUACGCGGGCAUAAGCAUAUAACCGAAGCUAUGGGAUUGUAGAUGAUACAAUCGGUAGGAGAGCAUUCCAUUCAGCAUAGAAGCAGUACCGUGAGGUAUUGUGGAGCGGAUGGAAAAGCAAAUGUAGGCAUAAGUAACGAUAAUGCGGGUGAGAACCCCGCACGCCGAAAGAUCAAGGAUUCCCCGGCAAUGUCAAUCAUCCGGGGGUAAGUCGGAUCCUAAGGGUAAGCCGAGUGGCGAUCCCGAUGGUAAACAGGUUAAUAUUCCUGUACUGAUCAUAACUGCGAUGCAGCGACGCAGAGGUGACACUGCUGCGUACUGACGGAAUAGUACGUUGAAACCCGUAUUCUUUGAUACCGGUAGUGAAGCACGCCGGUAGAGAUGAAAGGUGAUAGUACCGCAAUGCUUCGGUUGCGCGGAUAAUGCAGGUAAGCUGACUGCCAAGAAAACCUGCUAAGCUUCAGGUAAUGAUCAUCCGUACUGUAAACGGACACACGUGAUCAGGUAGAAAAUACUAAGGCGCUCGAGAGAUUCAUGGUUAAGGAACUAGGCAAAAUGGUCCUGUAACUUCGGGAUAAAGGACGCUCUUGUGAAAGAGCCGCAGAUAAUAGGCCCAGGCGACUGUUUACCAAAAACACAUGGCUAUGCUAAUUCGCAAGAAGAUGUAUAUGGCCUGACACCUGCCCGGUGCCGGAAGGUUAAGAGGAGAGCUCAGAGGUAACUCGAAGGUUUGAAUUGAAGCCCCGGUAAACGGCGGCCGUAACUAUAACGGUCCUAAGGUAGCGAAAUUCCUUGUCGGGUAAGUUCCGACCUGCACGAAUGGUGUAACGAUCUGGGUACUGUCUCAACCAUGAGCUCGGUGAAAUUGUAGUUCCGGUGAAGAUGCCGGAUACCCGCAACGGGACGGAAAGACCCCGUGAACCUUUACUGCAGCUUUGCAUUGAUUUUGGGUAACAGAUGUGUAGGAUAGGUCGGAGGCUUUGAUGCUGCGUCGUCAGGCGUAGAGUAGCCGUCGUUGAAAUACGACCCUUUUGUUAUCUGAGGUCUAAUCCCGUUAGGGAGACAUUGCAUGGUGGGUAGUUUGACUGGGGUGGUCGCCUCCAAAAGUGUAACGGAGGCUUCUCAAGGUACCCUCAAGGCGUUUGGUAAUCGUCUGCAGAGUGCAAUGGCAUAAGGGUGCUUGACUGUGAGACCGACACGUCGAUCAGGUUGGAAACAAGAGCAUAGUGAUCCGGUGGUUCCGCAUGGAAGGGCCAUCG
rnacentral:rRNA from 1 species